GUUUCUAUAGUGUAAAGGUUGUCACGUUUGCCUUACACGCGAAAGGCCCCCGGUUCGAUCCCGGGCAGAAACA